rnacentral:rRNA from 1 species
GACAGAGGGUGCAAACGUUGUUCGGAAUUACUGGGCGUAAAGCGUGUGUAGGCGGCCUUGCAAGUCGGAUGUGAAAGCCCUGGGCUCAACCCAGGAAGUGCACUCGAUACUGCAGGGCUUGAGUAUCGGAGAGGUUGGUGGAAUUCUCGGUGUAGAGGUGAAAUUCGUAGAUAUCGAGAGGAACACCUGCGGCGAAGGCGGGUUGCUGGGCUGAUACUGACGCUGAGGCGCGAAAGCUAGGGGAGCGAACGGG